rnacentral:rRNA from 1 species
CUACGUGCCAGCAGCCGCGGUAAUACGGAAGGUCCAGGCGUUAUCCGGAUUUAUUGGGUUUAAAGGGAGCGUAGGCGGAUUGUUAAGUCAGCGGUUAAAGGGUGUGGCUCAACCAUGCAUUGCCGUUGAAACUGGCGAUCUUGAGUGCAGACAGGGAUGCCGGAAUUCGUGGUGUAGCGGUGAAAUGCUUAGAUAUCACGAAGAACUCCGAUCGCGAAGGCAGGUGUCCGGGCUGCAACUGACGCUGAGGCUCGAAAGUGUGGGUAUCAAACAGGAUUAGAUACCCUGGUAGUCCACGCAGUAAACGAUGAUUACUAGGAGUUUGCGAUAUACCGUCAAGCUUCCACAGCGAAAGCGUUAAGUAAUCCACCUGGGGAGUACGCCGGCAACGGUGAAACUCAAAGGAAUUGACGGGGGCCCGCACAAGCGGAGGAACAUGUGGUUUAAUUCGAUGAUACGCGAGGAACCUUACCCGGGAUUGAA